rnacentral:rRNA from 1 species
UACGUAGGGUGCGAGCGUUGUCCGGAAUUAUUGGGCGUAAAGGGCUCGUAGGCGGUUUGUCGCGUCGGGAGUGAAAACCCAGGGCUUAACUCUGGGCUGGCUUUCGAUACGGGCAGACUAGAGGUAUGCAGGGGAGAACGGAAUUCCUGGUGUAGCGGUGAAAUGCGCAGAUAUCAGGAGGAACACCGGUGGCGAAGGCGGUUCUCUGGGACGGUACUGACGCUGAGACGCGAAAGCGUGGGGAGCGAACAGG